GAUGAACGCUGGCGGCGUGCCUAAUACAUGCAAGUCGAGCGAACGGACGAGAAGCUUGCUUCUCUAAUGUUAGCGGCGGACGGGCGAGUAACACAUGGAUAACCUACCUAUAAUUCUGGGAUAACUUCGGGAAACCGGAUCUACUACCAGAUAAUAUUUUGAACCGCAUGGUUCAAAAGUGAUAGACGGUCUUGCUGUCACUUAUAGAUGGAUCCGCGCUGCAUUAGCUAGUUGGUAAGGUAACGGCUUACCAAGGCAACGAUGCGUAGCCGACCUGAGAGGGUGAUCGGCCACACUGGAACUGAGACACGGUCCAGACUCCUACGGGAGGCAGCAGUAGGGAAUCUUCCGCAAUGGGCGAAAGCCUGACGGAGCAACGCCGCGUGAGUGAUGAAGGUCUUCGGAUCGUAAAACUCUGUUAUUAGGGAAGAACAUAUGUGUAAGUAACUGUGCACAUCUUGACGGUACCUAAUCAGAAAGCCACGGCUAACUACGUG
rnacentral:rRNA from 1 species